rnacentral:rRNA from 1 species
AACGAACGCUGGCGGCAGGCCUAACACAUGCAAGUCGAGCGAGGACUUCGGUUCUAGCGGCGGACGGGUGAGUAACGCGUGGGAAUGUGCCCUUCUCUACGGAAUAGACCUGGGAAACUGGGAGUAAUACCGUAUACGCCCUAUUGGGGAAAGAUUUAUCGGAGAAGGAUCAGCCCGCGUUGGAUUAGGUAGUUGGUGGGGUAAUGGCCUACCAAGCCGACGAUCCAUAGCUGGUUUGAGAGGAUGAUCAGCCACACUGGUACUGAGACACGGCCCAGACUCCUACGGGAGGCAGCAGUGGGGAAUCUUAGACAAUGGGGGCAACCCUGAUCGAGCCAUGCCGCGUGAGUGAUGAAGGCCUUAGGGUUGUAAAGCUCUUUCAGCUGGGAAGAUAAUGACGUUACCAGCAGAAGAAGCCCCGGCUAACUCCGUG